rnacentral:rRNA from 1 species
AGACCCGAAACCCGGUGAUCUAGCCAUGGGCAGGUUGAAGGUUGGGUAACACUAACUGGAGGACCGAACCGACUAAUGUUGAAAAAUUAGCGGAUGACCUGUGGCUGGGGGUGAAAGGCCAAUCAAACCGGGAGAUAGCUGGUUCUCCCCGAAAGCUAUUUAGGUAGCGCCUCGUGAAUUCAUCUCCGGGGGUAGAGCACUGUUUCGGCUAGGGGGCCAUCCCGGCUUACCAACCCGAUGCAAACUGCGAAUACCGGAGAAUGUUAUCACGGGAGACACACGGCGGGUGCUAACGUCCGUCGUGAAGAGGGAAACAACCCAGACCGCCAGCUAAGGUCCCAAAGUCAUGGUUAAGUGGGAAACGAUGUGGGAAGGCCCAGACAGCCAGGAUGUUGGCUUAGAAGCAGCCAUCAUUUAAAGAAAGCGUAAUAGCUCACUGGUCGAGUCGGCCUGCGCGGAAGAUGUAACGGGGCUAAACCAUGCACCGAAGCUGCGGCAGCGAACGUAUCACCCAAGACAACUUUACGGAGUUGACGAUUGACGGAGCGAAGCGACGUCAAAGCGUUCAUUAAAGUCGAGUUGGCUUAGGGAUACGUUCGUUGGGUAGGGGAGCGUUCUGUAAGCCUGUGAAGGUGUGUCGUGAGGCAUGCUGGAGGUAUCAGAAGUGCGAAUGCUGACAUAAGUAACGAUAAAGCGGGUGAAAAGCCCGCUCGCCGGAAGACCAAGGGUUCCUGUCCAACGUUAAUCGGGGCAGGGUGAGUCGACCCCUAAGGCGAGGCCGAAAGGCGUAGUCGAUGGGAAACGGGUUAAUAUUCCCGUACUUGGUGUUACUGCGAAGGGGGGACGGAGAAGGCUAUGUUGGCCGGGCGACGGU